rnacentral:rRNA from 1 species
UACAGAGGUCUCGAGCGUUAUGCGGAAUCACUGGGCUUAAAGCGUGUGUAGGCGGACCGGUAAGUACCUUGUGAAAUCCCACAGCUUAACUGUGGAACUGCUUGGUAUACUGCCAGUCUUGAGCCAGCUAGGGGCUACCGGAACAAAUGGUGGAGCGGUGAAAUGCGUAGAUAUCAUUUGGAACGCCAAUGGUGAAAACAGGUAGCUGGGGCUGUGCUGACGCUGAGACACGAAAGCCAGGGGAGCAAACGGG